GGACGAGGCCCACCCACCUUGGGGAGGGGCCAGCUGCUGUGUUCAGUCCGCCAUUGCAAACACGAAGCUCUUCCAGAAACGCCCUCACAGACACCCCGGAAGUCACGUACCCACUCUGUAGGUGCCCCGGGGCACAGGCAAGCGGACGAGCCAGUUAUCCCUCAGAGCUCCUGCUGCCUCGCCCGCUUUCUCUCGGAAACGUGAAGUGUGGCCUCAGCUGAAAGUGAGGUGGGCCUCAUUCAAUCAGUUGAAUUCUUCAAGAGAGAAAAACUGAAGUCCCUUAGAAGGAAAGAGUUCUGCCUUCAGACUGUCUUUGAACUUAAGACUGUAGCGUCGACUCCUGCCGGAAUUUCCAGCCUGCUGGCCAGCUCUGCAGAUUCACACUUGCCAGCCUCCACAAUCGCAGCUGAGGCGGAGGAACCCUAAGGGCUCAUUGAGAUCAUGGAUUUGCCCUUCUAUGCAUUGAUGGAGCACCUGCUGCCCACAGCGUCUGUAUUUGGUGCUGGGAUGCUGAGCCUCCUUCUUUAUGAAUUUUUAAAAGGACACUGAGAUCUUCAAACAGAGGCUGCCACUCUAAGCAAACAGAUCCCGAGCCCUGGACUCUGAAGCUUGGGCCCAGUUCUCCUUUUCUCCGGGUUUCAGAUCCCACUGUGAAGUGAGGGGGCCCUUCUGAUUCAGGACCCGGGGAAGCCAGGGGCAUGAGCAUCGGUGCCUCUUCUCUAUUUCAAGGACCCUUCUGGGUGUAAAGUUCUCUGAGAUGCCUUACAUGGAUUCCCACCACUGCAAGAUAACCAUCGUAUGAGGCUUCAGGCUUGACCAAAUCUGACUGGCUGGCUGCCGGAGACACUGCUACCCAUCGGCCCUUAAUAAAUGGCCUCAUUUGAUCAUCAUGUGAUCUUCAGAAGCUGGGCUUGAUUAUCCUUGCCAAACAAAAUGCUGAAACCAAAAAUCUGAAAGUAAAUCAAAGGUUUCGCCAUCAUGUAAACCCUUGGGCGACAGAGUCUACCUGUCUCCCCCUGAUAUUGUUCUAUGAGAUUUCGAUGCUAUCUUCAUUGCCAGCAGCCCUGACAAAGAUGCACUGCAGACGGAUAGCCUCUCAGAAAAGCGUGUGUAGCUGUGACAUAGUUCACAUUCCACAACCACUGAAGGGUUGAAACAUGAACUUGAAAGUAAAUAGCUUUGUGGAGAUUCACAUCGAGGAGCACUGUGCAGUCAUUCAGAAGAAUAAACUCCAGCUCUGCCCGGUGAUGGCAGGGGUGUUAACAAUGCAGUAUUGAGCUCAAAAAGUAACUUGCUAAAAGGUGUGUUUGAUGAAAUUUAUUUUUGCAAAACAAUUACACAGGAUAAAGCCUGCAUUUUUGUGUGUA
ensembl:lncRNA EPIC1 epigenetically induced MYC interacting lncRNA 1